rnacentral:lncRNA from 1 species
GAGUUUCGAGGGUGGUCGGCGCUGGCGGCUCGGAGGAACGCCUCUGAUGUUCGCAUCAUCCAGUGGUUCCAAGUUAGCCGUCAACAAAAGAUUAAAUGGCCAGAAUGUGAUCUUCCUGCAAGCGGGAAUAAAAUUUCCAUUCUGCCUGGACCAACUGUGGCUUAGAGGCUGCAGCUUAAACCGGAAUUAAACCCCCACGCGACCGUCUGAGAGGCAGACACGAGGACACUUAAUCCCACAGCACUGCCCUUUAAACGGGCGCAGCCCCUUUUAUGGGCUGCUCAGCAACAGGAAUGCUUUCAUCGACAAGAACCACGCAAUUUUUAAAAAAACGACUUCACAAAGAUCCACACAGCUUUGCGGAUGAAUUUACACCUAUUGCGAGUCCAGUGAGAUUCAACUGAACUUGUCGUGAGUGUUGCAGCCUCUGCUCACCGUAACCAAAUGGGUCCCGUUUGAAUAUCCAAACACACACUCCUGUCAGUCUCCUGGGCUCUGCGUCCUGAGGUGGCGCCAGAAAACCACCCACCGCUGGAAGUGUCCAGACCCCAGGGCACAGCGCGCCCUGGGGGUGUUUUCAGGGAGCCUUCAAGGGGCUCCAGAAUGUCACCUGCUGGAUGGUUCUGUCCGACAGACAGAGGAGCAGCCCGGCGCAGGUGCUGCCAGGCUGGGUUCACUGCAGCCAGAGAUCACACAGUGCAGACGGGUUUCAGCCGGGAUGGGGGCAUCGGGCUGGUCCACGAAGGGGGCUCCGCGGGAAAGGAGCUGAGGCUGGGAGCCUGGCUACUCCGCAGCAGCCCCCACCGUAACGAAAGAGCCCCUGUUCUGGGCCUGGCCCAGGGCAUCACUCUCUCCCAGCCCCUAACGAAGGUACACAUGGGGGUCGUGGGCCUCUGGGGUGGUGGCCUCCCUGUCACAUUCUGUAAGCUGGGAGUUUAAAUGACACCACCUCAGAGUUCCCGUUGUGGCUCAGUGGGUUAUGGACCUGACAUAGUCCCGUGAGGAUGCGGGUUGGAUCCCUGGCCUCGCUCAGUGGGUUAAGGAUCCGGCAUUGCUGUGGCUGUGGUGUCGGCAGGCGGCUGCAGGUCUGAUUGGACCUCUAGCCUGGAACCGCCGCGUGCCGCAGGUAGGCCGCAAAAAGAAGGAAACACCGGCGACGACACGACCCGGACAGCAGGGCUGCAGGAACCCGGCCCUCUGGCCCUGAUGGCCAGGGAGGCAGAGCCAGGGACCCAGCACUUCACCCGUGUCUGGGGGCGGGGUGGGCAAUCAGGCUGCUCUUACUCACGGGGACACUGCACUGCUCACCCCCGGGAGCUCAUGGCCAAACGGUACGGGAAGGAGACGCCAGAAACCAAGGGCGGUGUUUCUGGGGGGAGCGCGAGGCGUUUGAAAGCAGAAUGGAGAAAGCGACAGGCGGCGGGCUGGGCCGAGAACCUCCGACUCGGGAGUUACUUAGGGCUCCUCCCCGCCCCCCUCACCUGGCUCCUGAACUGGGUGAGAACCAGGCUCCGCGGGGCCUGUGCAGAGAGGAGGCAGGGACCACGGGGCCCCUUUCUGUCCCCAUCACCCCAAAGUGAAGUCUGGGCGGCCGCCCAGUUCUCGGAGGGCCCACUCUCCAGUCAGCUCACGUCGGCAGUUCCGAAGGGCGCUUCCAAGAUGCAAGUGCACCGUGACCGUGACCGUGGCCGUGGCCUGGACAGUGAGCGAGAUCCCCAGCCCCGCCUGCCCCCUGUCGUCGGGCGGAGCUGAGAUCUGGCCUAAGGCUCUUCUCCCCCCGGGUUUGUAUUUUGAACUAACAGGUAACUUAGGACGAUCUUCGCUCGACUUCAAGCUGAUUUUUCAAACCACCAGAGUUGACCCUGAACGCUACGUUCCAGGUUACACCAGGACUGGGAUGGAAACAGGCCCUGCUUUAGGAGGACGGUGGAGAGCUCGCACGCAGGCUCUGGCCGCAGGAUCCUGCGCUGCGGGGACCAGCGAGGGGGGGACGGGGACACCUCGCAGGCCAGUGAGACCCGGGCUCAGACAGCUGGAGGGAGCUGGAGGUGCCCACCGAGCGCCGGCCCAGGGCUGGGCAGCAAGUCACAGCACAGCUGUCCCAGGCUACCCGCCACCUGCGCGCACAUGUGGAAGGGACACAGGGGCAGGUCCCCGGGGGCCCCUCCUCCCCUCAAAUACAGAAUGCACUGCCCACCGUGGCGCCCCUCCCACCUUCCACCGGCACAGCGACCUCUGAGCAGGACUUGGAGAACCAGCCCGUUUUCAACGAGGGGGUGCUCUGAGCCCCAGGGGGACAGCAGGCCGCCCCGCACCAUCACUGACCACCCACCACCCCCAGGAUUGCGGGAACAGGGGCGGGGGCUCCAGCGCCCCUGAGCCCCUCCGGGAACGGCAGUGACAGCAGGCGAAGGUGGCUUCUGUGCCUUGUCACAGCUUGACGACUCAUCUUUGUGAUUUUCAUAUUUGCCAAAUGCCCGGGCUGGUCUUCCCGCUGCCCACACAGGUGCCCAUGAGCUGCUCCCUCCACGCUCCUUCCGUGAAAUACUGAGAUCUGGGCCCCCCCUCCCCCCUCACCGAGAUGACAAAUCCCAGGUGUCGGAACCAGCCGGCACCAGAGGGGCCCCCACCAGCCCGGAGGCCGGGCCCCUCCCAGAGCUGCCUCCAGCCCUCUGGUUCCGCCCGCACCCCACUGUCACAACCAGAGCAGAACAGCUCACACCACACAGAAACAAGGCCAAGCAAAGCGUGGGGGCUCGUCUUCCGGGGAGGCCUGUGUGAACCAAACUGCUCUCUUCCUCGGGCAGGCCCGCCGAGAACACAGACUCAAGCAGAAUCAGACAUACGCGAUCCUACAUGGGGACAAAGCCCCGCGGUGAAUACAGGCAGGAGCCGGUCAUCAGCUGAGAACACGACCAAAGGGCACUGAACAUGUGUGGCAGGGUUGGGACAAAAAAAGAAAAAGGUCGAGAAGCUCCUGGUGGCUCAGCAGGUUAAGGAUCCAGAGCCGUCACUGCUGUGCAAGGGUUUGACCCCUGGCCCGGGAACGUCCACAGGCCGGGGGCGCAGCCAAAGAAAAAAAGAAAGAGAAGAAAGUCAGCCUUGGGCACCGCAAGUCCACCUCUCGGCAGGGCCGAGGCCUCUGAGCGACUGGGACCUCGCCUCUCAGACCCAGAACCUCUUCUGAACUUGCAAGGUGGUGGACUGGCAGGAGCCAGCGUCAACCCAGUCCUCAGGGAGGUCACGUCGCGUCGCGAGGGGCGCAGGGAAUGCCGCGGGUGCUCUUUCUUCGGCUCCUCCCUCAACCCAAAGAUCACCUGCCAAGCAGGGCAUCUCGCCAGCCGCCUGCCGCAGCUGUGGUUUUCAACGAGCCAAGCGAGUCAAGAGAUAUAAUUACUCAACUUCACAAUUAAGCUUCUUGUUAAUAAAUUAAGCACUUAAUACAAAAGGGAGGUACAGCUUUUGAAACCAUGCCAUUCUAGAAGAAGCGACAGACCGAUGGAGGAAAUCAAAGAAUGAUUUCAAUUUAAGAACAAAAAAUAAUCUCAUCUCACCUUUGGAGUAGAAACAACAGGAAAUUGUUUCUCAGAGAACCAACAAUUUUAGAGGAAAAACCCUCAAAUUUAAUUUUAAAUUAAAUCUCUUUCUUGGUAAUUGUUUUAGAAGUAAAAGAAAAACAUGUUAAAGAUUAGCUGAAGACAGAAAACUGAUCCAAAUGGAACAGUCAAUCAGCAGAACGCAGUUUCUGCAAGAAAAUUUCACAUAAAAUGCUUUGAUUCCUAUUCCCCAUCAAUGCACUUAGGAGAAAGUCACGUAGCUUUACGGUAUCACUAAACUAACACCAUCAGCUCUUUUACUUGAAUGUAUUGCCAACGAGACAUAAUUUCCACGAUAUUCUAUCUCAUUACAGAAUUACUUGUUCUAAGACAAAUAUCAGUUUUUUUUUCCCUCUGGAGCAAGAAUUGCCUUGUUGGCUGCUCUCAACAAGCACAUAUCAAGCAAAACACACAGAGCCCAAAUGAAUCCUCACAUUCGAGUAUUUAAAUUUUAACAAAACUUGCCAUCACCAAUUAUUUAAGAGAAAAAACCCUCCUGCCAGGGUGCACGUUCCAUUAAAAUUUCAUCAGUGCUUAGGUUUCCGUGUUUUCCUAUGCGACCCCGAUAAGGUCUUUUUCACUGAUUAUAAAAACGUGUUUCCAAAAAGCCAAGAUCUACAACAUCGAAUGCAGAAUAAACUACUGAAAACUGCCCGUAAAUCCGUUUGUUUGGGACAAUGACAAAGUUCAGGAGGUGGACGGCAGUGAUGGCCGGACGGCAGCGUGAAGGCACUAACGCCACUGGACCAUACGUCACUCUGGAACGUUACGUUUCCCCAGAGUAAAACCCUCGCCCAUCGACCAAGCUACCGCGUGUCCACCCCGUGAGUCAAUGCAGCCUCGUGACGCCAAAACCAGGCUGACGCAUCUGCUGCCUAACAUUCUCCUCACCCGGCCUCAUAACUUUAAAACGAAUGUGGGAGUUCCCGUCGUGGCGCAGGGGUUAACGAACCCGACUAGGAACCAUGAGGUGCGGGUUCGGUCCCUGCCCUUGCUCAGUGGGUUAACGAUCUGGCGUUGCCGUGAGCUGUGGUGUAGGCUGCAGCUCCGAUCCCAUGUUGCUGUGGCUGUGGUGUAGGCCGGUAGCUACAGCUACGAUUCGACCCCUAGCCUGGGAACCUCCAUAUGCCGCGGGAGCGGCCCAAGAAAUAGCACAAAAAAAGACAAAAAAUAAAUAAAUAAAAU